UGGGGAGUAUUGGACAAUGGGCGAAAGCCUGAUCCAGCCAUGCCGCAUGAGUGAAGAAGGCCUUUGGGUUGUAAAGCUCUUUUAGUGAGGAAGAUAAUGACGGUACUCACAGAAGAAGUCCUGGCUAACUCCGUGCCAGCAGCCGCGGUAAUACGGAGAGGGCUAGCGUUAUUCGGAAUUAUUGGGCGUAAAGGGCGCGUAGGCUGGUUAGUAAGUUAAAAGUGAAAUCCCGAGGCUUAACCUUGGAACUGCUUUUAAAACUGCUAACCUAGAGAUUGAAAGAGGAUAGAGGAAUUCCUAGUGUAGAGGUGAAAUUCGUAAAUAUUAGGAGGAACACCGGUGGCGAAGGCGUCUAUCUGGUUCAAAUCUGACGCUGAGGCGCGAAGGCGUGGGGAGCAAACA
rnacentral:rRNA from 1 species